rnacentral:misc_RNA from 1 species
GUAGGUGAACCUGCGGAAGGAUCAUUAAUGAAACUUCAAAGUCGGCUUGUCUAUCUGUGCUGGUGGAGACACAUGUGCACGUUGACAGGUCGCAAAUCCACACACCUGUGAACCUAUGACUCUGAGUACCGCUUUGCAUGGCCCUCACCGGCCUGGUACUCGUGUACUUUUACACACUCUGAAUAUAAUGGAAUGUCUUUUUGUACAAUGUACAACUAAAACAACUUUCAACAACGGAUCUCUUGGCUCU